rnacentral:lncRNA from 1 species
AGCAUGAGUCAUCUCGUUCCAAUGAGAAUGAAGGCUGAGGUGUGCGCCUUUUUUUUUUUUCCUUCUUAGUCGUGUGUACAUCAUUGGGAAUGGAGGGAAAUAAAUGACUGGAUGGUCGCUGCUUUUUAAGUUUCAAAUUGACAUUCCAGACAAGCGGUGCCUGAGCCCGUGCCUGUCUUCAGAUCUUCACAGCACAGUUCCUGGGAAGGUGGAGCCACCAGCCUCUCCCUGACAAGCAAAGUGGAUCAGCAAAGGCUGCAGUCACCAGCAUCUUUUCCAACCUUAAUGAACUGUAUCCUCAAAAGAACACUAUCAGACUGGUAAGACAAGCAUUAUUGUCCCACUUCACAGAUGAAGAGCUUGGGGGCCCUGUGGAUGUGUAGGAGAGUCGGCCUUCCUUUUUAUAGGCCUUUUGCUGAGCUCAGAGGACAGAGCAGAAGACAAAGCCGAAUGCAGCCCUAAGCAGACACUAUCCCAGCCCAAGGAGCUAUGCAGACAGCUCCUGCCUAGAGGAGAAACAAUUCUCUCCUUCAGCCAGGCAUGUGGCACAGAGGUGAACAGGAAAUGCUUAGGGAGACAGUUCACAGAUAUAUAUGUACUUCACAGGGCACAAUUUAAUCCAUAAAUCAAUCAUGGAUCACCGCUAAAGAAAACAAAAUAUGCUGCCACUAAUUUGCCACCACCCUGUGAGCAUGAUUGGAUGAUGUUUAUUUUGAUUAGGAGAUUGCUCCAUUUAUAAAUCUUCAAUACAUCCUGUCCCCCUAAAACGGCAUCUGGGUCUUUUGAGGGUUAA